rnacentral:rRNA from 1 species
UGAGUAAUAUAUCGGAACGUCGCCCGGUCGUGGGGGAUAACGUAGCGAAAGCUACGCUAAUACCGCAUACGAUCUACGGAUGAAAGCGGGGGAUCGCAAGACCUCGCGCGAUUGGAGCGGCCGAUAUCAGAUUAGGUAGUUGGUGAGGUAAAGGCUCACCAAGCCGACGAUCUGUAGCUGGUCUGAGAGGACGACCAGCCACACUGGGACUGAGACACGGCCCAGACUCCUGCGGGAGGCAGCAGUGGGGAAUUUUGGACAAUGGGCGCAAGCCUGAUCCAGCAAUGCCGCGUGCAGGAUGAAGGCCUUCGGGUUGUAAACUGCUUUUGUACGGAACGAAACGGUGAGCUCUAAUACAGUUUGCUAAUGACGGUACCGUAAGAAUAAGCACCGGCUAACUACGUG